rnacentral:rRNA from 1 species
GAUGAACGCUGGCGGCGUGCUUAACACAUGCAAGUCGAACGAUGAAGCCCAGCUUGCCGGGUGGCUUAGUGGCGAACGGGUGAGUAACACGUGAGUAACCUGCCCUUAACUCUGGGAUAAGCCUGGGAAACUGGGUCUAAUACCGGAUAGGAGCGUCCACCGCAUGGUGGGUGUUGGAAAGAUUUAUCGGUUUUGGAUGGACUCGCGGCCUAUCAGCUUGUUGGUGAGGUAAUGGCUCACCAAGGCGACGACGGGUAGCCGGCCUGAGAGGGUGACCGGCCACACUGGGACUGAGACACGGCCCAGACUCCUACGGGAGGCAGCAGUGGGGAAUAUUGCACAAUGGGCGCAAGCCCGAUGCAGCGACGCCGCGUGAGGGAUGACGGCCUUCGGGUUGUAAACCUCUUUCAGUAGGGAAGAAGCGAAAGUGACGGUACCUGCAGAAGAAGCACCGGCUAACUACGUG